UACAGAGGGUGCAAGCGUUGUUCGGAAUUAUUGGGCGUAAAGCGCGUGUAGGCGGCUUAGCAAGUCGGGCGUGAAAGCCCCGGGCUCAGCCCGGGAAGUGCGCUCGAAACUGCGCGGCUCGAGUGCCGGAGGGGAGAGUGGAAUUCCUGGUGUAGCGGUGAAAUGCGUAGAUAUCAGGAGGAAUACCGGUGGCGAAAGCGACUCUCUGGACGGCAACUGACGCUGAGGCACGAAAGCGUGGGGAGCAAACAGG
rnacentral:rRNA from 1 species